rnacentral:rRNA from 1 species
AAACUGGGAUUAGAUACCCCACUAUGCUUGGCCCUAAACCUAGAUAUUUAAGACACAAAAAUAUCCGCCAGAGAACUACGAGCAAAACGCUUAAAACUCUAAGGACUUGGCGGUACCUCAAACCCCCCUAGAGGAGCCUGUUCUACAAUCGAUAAUCCACGAUCCACCUCACCAUCUCUUGCCAAUCCCGCCUAUAUACCACCGUCACCAGCUUACCCCCUGAGGGUUAUAAAAGUAAGCAAAAUAACUAAAAACAGUUAACAAGUCAGGUCAAGGUGUAGCUUAUUGAGAUGGGAAGAAAUGGGCUACAUUUUCUAUAUUAGAAAUAAAUUUACGGAAAGGAACUAUGAAAUAAGUCCCACAAGUAGGAUUUAGCAGUAAACCGGGAUUAUGAACGCCCAAUUUAAGUCGGUCCUGAGGUGCGCACACACCGCCCGUCACCCUCC